GGGCCUAUAGCUCAGCUGGCUAGAGCGCACGACUGAUAAUCGUGAGGUCGAUGGUUCGAGUCCAUCUAGGCCCACCA
rnacentral:tRNA from 1 species